UAAAAAUGUUAAAUGUGUUUUUUAAAACCUUUCAAAUACAGGAAGAAUAUGAAGAAAAUAAAAAUUACCCAUAAUCUCGUUACAUCAUUAGAGGUAAUUACUCUUAUUACCAUUCUAAUUUUAUAGUUGAGAAAGCAAAGGAGAGGAAGAAAGGGAAAAAGGAAGGAGUGUGAGCUUUUAGAUUUUCUUCUCAAACAUGUAAAAAAAGAUUCUGUGGAAGUAAUACCCAAAAUUUUUGAAAGAAAUGUCGGAUAUUCUUAUUCCUAAUAGCAUGUAUAUUGCCAGGAGUACCACUGCUGGUUCUGAACAUCAGUGUUUCAAUAAUCAAUAAGCUUUACAAAGCUCUGGUUUCCAUAUCACAGAAAACAAAUAUUUAAAGCAAUACAUAUAUAUAUAUAUAUAUAUAUUUAAAUACGGAAUGCUUUGUGAAUUUGCAUGUCAUCCUUGUGCAGGAGCCAUGUUAAUCUUCUCUGUAUUGUUCCAGUUUUAGUGUAUGUUCUGCCAAAAUGAGCACUUAUAAUAUUUUACAAAAGUAAACUACAUUACAAAAACUCUCGUGAAACAGAAAAGAAGGGGAAGUUACACACAACCCCACAACUUUAACAAAACCCUGUUAAUAUUUUAGUAUAUUUCUUUCCAGACUUUGUCCCACUCUCCCUUUUUUAUUAUUUAUUUAUUUGGACAUAACAUUGUAAUUGAAAGGAAACCAUUAUUAUAAGACCUCUCACAUCAUUGCCCCACUCUGAUUCUCUCUCCGUCUCUAUUUUUCACCUUUGCUUAUUAUCCUCAGGCCUCUAGUGCUUUUAUAACAUGUUGGAUAUGGAGAAAUGGCUUCGGUAUCAGUUAGUUUAGAUUUGAAUCCUGGCCCUACUAACUUGGGAAAAUUACUGAGCAACUUUGUCUCAAUUUUCUCAUCUGACCCUGAGGAUAGCACCCUCUCCACCCAUCUGUGAGCAUGAAGAGAGAUAACAUAUGUAAAUUGAUGACACAGUGAGGAGCUCAGACUAAGUGCUCAAUAUAUACAAACUCUUUUUUUUUUGCUUAAAAUUAUAAUUAUUUUUCUCUAUAAUGCAAACACAAAUCACUAUGACUAACUCACUGUCAUUUUCUUUGACAGGUUAUUUCCAGUUUGGGGUCAUGUAGAUAAUACUGUAAUUAAUGUAUUUUUUUCAUAGAAUAUGAGUUUCACUUCAGUCUAUGGAUUUCCUUUAGAAAAAUCAUUGGAAUGGUAUUUUUGGGUAAAAGUUUGAGCCUUGACAUGGUUCUUGCAACAUAUGCAAGUAUAUUUUUUUGAGUUAAUUUUUUUUUAACUUGAGUAAUUUGAGCAUAGAGUUUUGUACCUUGCUUUUUUCUUUCAAUGUUAUGGCAAAGCUUUUUUUUUUUUAUCAUAUAAUUAUAUUUCCAAUGAAACUCUCCAUGUCUUUAGCUUUUUCUGUAUUUUUGGAUUAUUUCCUUAGAGUAGAUUCCUAGAAGUAGAAUUACUUGAAGAAAUGUAUGACAAAUUGUAUGGCCUCUGAUCUACAAACAAAUCACCUUCCAAAAAAAAUUGUACUGAUUUAUAUGGCCACUAACAGUUUAUGAGUCUACCAAUUUAACAACAUGUUCUGGAGCAUUAAGUGUUAUAAUUUUAAAGCUUUUGCCAAUGUAAUGAUUGAAAAGGCCUACUUAAGGUUUGUUUUGAUUUAAAUUUUAAAUUACCUGUAAGUUGAGCAUUUUAUUUUCUGAAUUUUAAAGCAAGGGGCACUGAGACACUGGGAAGUUGCCUGAUGUGACCAGCGAGCAGCCUCAUUAUAUUCCUCUUUGAUCUGUACAACUCAACAUUCCGGGCAUUAGUUGCUUCCUCCGUAUUUCUUGCAGCUGUUCUGUUUUAAGACGGAAUUCUAUUUUUAUAGAACAAACAGAACUGAGCAGAAAAUGUGCUACUCUCUUUGAGUUUACUUCUCUUAAGAGGAGCCUGCUGUUGAGAAUACACAGUUACAGACAAGAUACAUGAUAGGAGGCAGCUGAUGACAACCAUGAGCCUCCUUAUAGGAAAAGAGUUUCUUGUUGGCAUCAUCAAGGUCUUAUCUUAAAGGUCCAGAAAAUUGAUUCUGUCAGUACAUUCAGAAUUAGACUUAAAAACUGGAUGCUAGCCAAACUCCUAAAAGACUUUUCUAUUACAAGAAAUGCCAUUAACAUGCAGAUCAGAAGUUGCUCCAGAACAUUCUAUUCCUGUAAAAAUGUCUAUAUGAGAAGUCAAAUUAUAAUCAGGUUUCUCAAUAACCACAGAAUCAGGAUGGGGUGGGGAAGGGGGAUGGUGCCUGAAAUGAUUUUUAAUGGCGAAUGUCAUCAAGCUAUGUGAAUCUGAUGCAUUCAUCACCACUGGAGGGACAGACCUGACCAGUGGUAGGAAUGCAUGGGCCGAAGGGACAGGGACCCCUCUCCAUUGGAUAUGCUUGGGAUUCACGAACACAUUUUUCCAUGUUGGCCUCUUUUUCCUAGACUCCAUGCACAUUGCCUUCAAUUCAAUUCCACAGUAUUCAUUAAGCAUCUUCUAUGUGCCAAUCUUUGUAUUGGAUUCUGGGCCUACAUAAAUGAAUAAAAACCUAGUUCCUGCUCCUAGGUACCUCACAGACUUUUGGAGAAAACCAAACACAUACAUAAUUACAACAUACCUUAUGAUGAAAGCUUGACUGUGUUACAGGUCUAGGACCUCUGGGCUCUUGUCACCAUGGCUGGCUUGCAGAAUCUUAUCUAGCUCUGCUGUGUGAUGUGAGCAAUUUAUCUAAUGUCACUGGGAUUUAGUUUGCUGUUUUGUAAAAUGGAGAAAAUAAUAGUCCCUACUUCAUUGAAUUGUGAAGUUUAAAUGAGAUGAUACAUGUAAAGCAAUUAGAACAAUGUCUGGCACAUCGUAUGAAAGUUAGCUAUAAUGAUAAACUUAAUUAACCUCAUGAUGGCUACCAGCAAUAUGACAUGGGCAGUCUAAUUCUUCAAACUCAACACAAGGAGGAACAUAUAUUCCAAACUCUUCUCAGCACUUUGACACAUCUAUAUGCAUGACAGGUAGGAAGUAUAUUAUCAGGAAAGGUGGGACAAUCAACUUCUGAAAAAUGUGACAUUUUUGUUUCAAAUUUGGAAGUAUUUCUCCUCUGGUAUUUCAUACAAUAGUGAUAUUUUUCUUAGAGUAGGCUACUGACAUCUUGUGCUAUACAUUCCAGGAAAAGUCCACAGAUCCAUUUGGGCGCUUCCAACACCUCAGCACAAAGAAUAUCACUUUGACUUUUGUGCAUCUGUCCCACGUCCAGCAGACACCAGGGCUACAUUCAUCUUUGGCUUCCCAGCCUAGUUGUUAACUGCUUGAAGAUAAAGACUGUGACUUAGCCACCUAAAAUUCCCAGCCUCUAACACAGGGACUUGUGGAUAGUAAGAGCUCACCAAUUGUUGCCUGAUCAAAUAAAUGACUUUGACAAUGAAUAUUGGCGUCUGCCUCUCCAGCAUCCAUUCCUAUUUUUGAAACUUUCCAUAAUCCCCACUUUCAGUUCACAUGUUCUGAGUGGAGCACCAAACUUAAGUCAUCAUUCACACGUUCUUCCUUUUUCUUCCAAUAAUCGGCUUAGGAGAGGGUAUAUGACAUAAGCUUGUCCAGAGUUUAACCCCUGGAUUUUGAUGAGAAUGCUAGAAAAAAUACCCUGGCUAUUUUGUCUUGUGGGUUUGAACAUGGAAGGUUUAGUAACUACUGGCAACCAUCUUGUGAUCACGAGGGGAGGCCGUGUUUGAAAAUAGAAUCAACAAAAAGGAAGCAAAGUGAAGAGAUGGUAGAGACGAUCUGGAUCCUGAAGACAUUGUUAGAGGCCUGGACCCAGCUGCACCUUUGGCUGUUAAGUUGCUUAAGCCAAUCCAAGCUGUUUUUUAAAAAAAAUUUAAGCCAGUUUAUAUCAGGUCUUCUCUCACUUGCAACCAAAUGAUAAAACUGAUUCAACUUGUUCUACAAAAGGCAUUUAAAAAUAAACUUAUUUGUCCUAUGCUCAUGACCAAAGCAGUUCCUAACUGCUAUUUUCUUGUUCCAUUAAUCAAUAAACAUAUAUUAGGCCCUUGUUACAUGGUCAGAUGCCACAAAGUUUAAGAAAGUUUCUUGUGCUACAGUCUAAUUGGAAUUCAUAGUCUCUGUAUUUUCCUCUUUUAAGGAAUACAUUUCCAUUUACCUAGAAAAGUUUUGAUUCAGGAAUGAGUUGGUUAUUUACCUCCUGUUCUCAGUUCCAAGACUCCCUUCCUCUGCUCCGCUCUUUCGUGCUGGGGCUGGGAUUCGGCAGAUCUCAUUGACCAUCCUCCCUUGCCAGCUAGCUUUCUGGUAAGUUCAAUAAAUGGGAAACCCUAGGGCACCGGAAUGUGGGAGGAGAAUUCCUUCCUGUUUUCAGUUCCUGAAUGUAGCUGCAGCCCACAGAAAGGUAGCUGCUCUCUGCAGCUCUAAUAUUUAGGUUUCCUUAGUAUCCACUUUUUGCUCUUUCUGCCUUCUAAUAUCUUUAUAACCAAUUCCUGAUAUUAAAUCCACUCUGCUUUCCUGACUGGACCCUGACUGAUAUGGUACUUGAUGCUAGGAGUGGUACUAGGAAGCAGACUCUCAAAUACAGGAUUCUGGAAUUGAUUUGCUUUGAACUCAGAGCUGAACUUUUUGCUAAUGGAAAAUGGGAAUGGUAAUCUAUGGCAUGCAAUGGUAUCACAAUUCAUUAAAUUAUCAUCUAUUCUUGCUAGGUUUGAGUGCCAAUGGGAGGAAAUCUUUUGGACAUCAAUUAACUGCUGCAUUUGAUCAUUAUGGUUGUAGAGAUGAUUACAAGGAAUGUAAGCUGCCAUGUUGGAGAAGCAUGGACUAACCUGCUGGAGGAAACUUGACCCAAGCAACAGCCAGCACUGAUUCCAAGACACAUGAAUGAGGCCAUCAAGGACCAGCAUCCUCUGGCAAUCUGUUGACUGACUGCAAACGCAUGAGUGAGACCAGCUCACCAUGGGAAGCAGAAAUGAAUCGCCCCAGCUGAGCCCAGCCCAAAUUGCUAACUUACAAAAUCAAGAAAACAUAAAUGAUAAACAUAAGCCAUUAAGUUUUGUUAUACAGCAAAAGCUAGCUGAAACAAAUAUAUUAACUUCAAUAGCUGAGAGUUUCUCUAUUUGCUUAGUUGGUUGACUGAAACCUGUGCUCAACAGUAGGCUACAUUCAAUGAUGUUGAGCUGAUAGAAUUUCUCCACAAUAAUGUACAGGAAGGAUUCUAAAGGCUUAGGGAGGUAAGAAUAAUGGAGUAAUUUAUCACAUGUAACCUGUGCAUCUUUCCUCACCUUGAAAGGAUCCAAGAAAUAUUCCCUUCACUAGAGCAUUGAGAAAUGCAUUAGUGAGGGAGCCCCAGCAACCCUGAAUACCCCCAGGUGGCUGUUUUCUGUAGGCCAAGGAUGAGGGUGGGAAAUGCAGCCACUGAGAUGGGCUUCUUGAUUCAAUCAGGAUGAUGAGAUCCCAGAGUGGCAAUAGAAUUUUUUACUCAUAGGAAUCUUUGGUGGUUGGCCCUAAGAAUUAAAUAGAUGGCCAGCCUACUAAAGCAUUGCUUGAUUUAUAUAAUAGAGAUCUGACUUGAGUUCCCACAACUGAGAAUCACAGCUUCUUCCCCGAUUCCUAGACCUUACCAGUUCAUUGAUCUGAAGCUCCUGGUUGAAGAGAAAAACUGGACCCCUUGAGAAAGAACCCUGUAACAAUGCCACAACUACUUUCUGUAGAUCUUCCUCCAUGCUAUCCCAAAAGGGACUUGAAAUCAUUUACUAAGAUGUCUGUGUAUGGAGGAAAUGGAAAUACCCAGAUUUUUCAGGGAUUCCUAAACAUUGCUUUGAAAUGACACUAAUCCUUAGGAACCCCAAAUAGCCCUGUGGUCCACUAGUGAAAAUAGGUGCUUAUAGUGGUCAGGUGAUAAAAAGAAUUUGGGCCAAUUCCAUCUCAUCAUGGAUCUGUGACCCACGCAGCCAUUAAAAAUUAUACUUAGGAAGAUUAGUCAACAACAUGGGUGUAAGCUUAUAAUCCUAUGACAAAUUUGAAAAAAGGAUAGAAAAUUACAUGUUAUAACUCUAGCUGAAGUUAUAGAUGUGUCUAGACAAAGAACAAAUGCUAACAGCAAAAAUGAAAAUACUUGUGUUGGACGAUGAGGUCAUAGGUGAUUUUUGUUUCAUCUUUCUCAAUUCCUCAAACUCUCCCAAAUGCUAUUUUUUGCUUCCUUUGUAAAAGGUACUUUUUUUUUUAAAGACUUAGAACUUAUCCAACUCUUUUGUUUUAAGGAUUGCAAUUAUAUACUUUUUAUUCAAUCAUGUUAAGGUCAUAAAAAGUAAGAAUGUUAAGUGUAGCCUUCUCUUCAGUAUUACAGUGAGUCUCAGAGACAAUCACGCACGGGGCACCUAUCACAUAAAGAGGCUGCAGGACUGACAAAAUCCUACUCUCUCCCUGCCCUCCACAAGUUUACAGUCUAAGGGGCAUGUGCUCAAAUCCUCAUGAUUCAAAACUGAGAAAGAUAACUGCUUCAGAGAGGGACAAAGAAAGCAUUGCUCUGCCCAAAGUAAAGAGAGCUCAUAUUUAAUUGGAGAAAAUCAGAGAAUAUUCAUGAGCAGAGCUGGCAUCUGAGGAUGAAUAGGAUUUUCCGGGGAGAAUUGAGGUCCCAGAAAGGACGUGUCCCAGAAAGGAGGUGUUCUGGGUGGAGGCGACAGUAUAAACCAUACUUGAGGACUGGUGAGCCCUUUGACUUUGCUGAAGAAUGUACGGGAGAGUCUAGGGGACACGAAACCCAUGCUGAUAGACCUCAGCUGGGAAUUCCUUGGAGCAUAGCUCACUGCUCCUUUAGCAGUAGGAUUUAGGAGAAAUAUCCUGCAGACAGAUUAGCUUGAUAGUGUCUGGGCACUGACUAUUUGGCAAGGGCUAGUGGCUAGUACAUAGGGGGAUUACCGAUGAUACUUGAUAUUUAUCAGGUAUUUACCAUGUGCCUGAUGCACUAAGUGCCUGAUAAAGGAAGGUACUAAAUACCUUUCUUACAUUAUUCAUUUUUUAGAUAAGGAAACUGAUGCUUAGAGAGAUCAACUAACAUAUCCAAAGUUGUGUAACUCAUAUAUAAUUGAGUUGGGGUUGGAAUCUCCGACAUCAGAGCCUGCACUCCCCCACCCUCCCACAGUGCCUCUUUGGAAAGAGUAAAAGUGAAAUUAAUCCUCGAGCAGCAAAAGAGACCACAAGGCACAUGUAACUGGUAAAGUCCCCACUUAAAGUCGCAUCCCGUGGGAAAUCAGGGCACGUUACAGGGUAGAAUGAAUAUGGUUUCAUCACCCUAACUUCAUCCCUUCCAAGCUAAAGAGGCAGUGUUAACCAAAUUUCUUAACUUCUAUUCUUCAGUUUCCUUAUCUUUAAAAUGGAGACAUAAAUAGUGCCUUUUUUCAGAGGGUUUUGAGAGAAUUCAUUCCAACAAUAUGUAUAAAAUGCUAAACAAUAUGGGGCAUAUAGUGAGUACUUGAUAAAUGUUAGAUGUUAGGAUGGUAUGCUGUAGUAUAGAACAUUUCUUACGUUAGGACACACUGCUUUAGGGUCUUCUUCCCUGAAGAAGCCUAAAUCUCAGGAUACUGGGGCUUGGGAGCCCUGUCCCUAUUUGGUUUUCUAGAAAAUAGCCCAAAUCUAGGACCAAAGGUGGUAUUUUGACAGAAGCCAUUAUGCCACCAGGUUCCUAAUAGAGUCAAACACCACCACCCAGUAUGCCAAUCACACAUCUUGGGGGAGGUGGGGCCCCACAUAGGUGGGCUUGCUUCUUUGGGGAGGAGGCCUUGUCUGCCUGCCCUGAUCUCCACAGCAUUCGAAGGUGCUAUUCCUCCAGCAGGGACCCCAGACCAACACAUGGGACCUGGGAAACCGCCCUGGGACCCCACUCUUCUGAAGAGGGCAUCAAAUUGUGCCUCAAAGUCUUUCAAACUUGUGGGAGUCAACUGGCUUGAUGGCAUAUUAAACUUACUGACCUGGAUGGGCCUUGAGGAAACCACUUAGCCAAAAGUAGAACAUCUGGAAGACUUUGAAGAAUAAACUAUUAAGUUUUAUUCUUCAGAGGCAUUCUUUGAUUUGUAUAGACCGAGAAUUGAGAAACUGGGAUGUCGUAUAAUUUGUCUGUUACUCAUUUUCACACCCCUUCAUUCCCAACCCCAAAUUCUUUUUAGUUUGAGCACCAGUUAAAGAGUUUGCUUUAGGCCCACUAAGCUAAGACUCUGUUGUACUUGGUAAUGUACACAUUUGGAUAGUUUAUGGGUCAACUCAUGUCCUGAGAUUCGUGGCCCCAGCACAAAGACCAAAUUUAACGUGAUUAACCUGUUGUUGCUGAGUCCAGUUACCCUCCACUUUGACGCACAUGUAAUGGGAUCCCACAGGAUUUCUGUAAUACCAACCAUCAAAGACCUUGACUAGAGAGUAUCACUGUAUCACAGACGUGGAAACUGAGUCACUGAAAAGUUAAGUUUAAAGUCAUAUAGAGAACCAGGAAAGGAGCCCUAGUUUGGGACUUUGACCAUUAUGACUACUUAUCUGAAAUCUUUGCAGGCACAGCAUUAAGAAUGCCAAAAUUUUUUAAUGUAUAUCAUUGAUUUCUGAAAUUAAAAAAACAGAAUUUUUUGAAGGAAAGAUGUAGUUUAAAAAAACACCAUUCAACACAGUGCUAUUACAGUUUACAAUAAAUGCUUCGUGAUUUGGACCUCA